UGAUACAGAGGGCCGGCCGCUGGCAACAUCGGUCCAAUCCUUAAAGUCAUCCUCAGUUCGGACUGGGGUCUGCAACCCGACCCCACGAAGCUGGAUUCGCUAGUAAUCGCGCAUCAGCCAUGGCGCGGUGAAUACGUUCCCGGGCCUUGUACACACCGCCCGUCAAGCCAUGAAAGCCGGGGGCGCCUGAAGUCCGUGACUGCGAGGGUCGGCCUAGGGUGAAACCGGUGAUUGGGGCUAAGUCGUAACAAGGUAUC
rnacentral:rRNA from 1 species